GCAACCAAUGCUGUUUACUUCCUCUUUGGGCGUUCCGCUUAGUCUCACGAGGCAAUCCUAACCUGGCAACUAGCCAGGCGCCAUCUUUUAAUGGCGGAGGCCGCCCUGGCCAGGGGCCUGCCUCUGACACCUUAGUCCUAGGGAGAUGAGUGUAUCCAAGCACCAGUGGAUCUGGGGAGAGCAGAGGGCAGACAAUCACCUUGUUACUAGAGCUAGGACACAAGUUCACAUGUCUUGAUGCUGGACUCCUGAAUUCAGGCUUCCAGAGUUUCUCAUCAGGACAGAAUUGUUCCCACAGAUAAGGGUAUUUUAACCCUAAGGAGACUAAGGGCCCCAGUCAUGUGUGGGGAGAAGCCUAAGGAGACAGAGCACCAACCUUCUAACUAUUCACUAAAUUGAAACUCUUAAUUGACUGUCUACUCCCAGAAAGAAAGACAUGGCAGCUGAAGCAACUGUUCCUGGAAUGAUAGGAUUCAGGUCUGCUUCUGGGUAUUCCCCAAAGUGCCCAGCAGAACGCCUAGAAUAUACCUGCCGUGGGGAAAGUAUCUACUACACAAAUAAAUGAAAGGAUUGUCAAACAGAAGCAUCAGCCUAAACAAGAUGAGAGGUCCCCACAAAAAUCCAUAAAAUACAAGAAAAGAAAUUCUAAUAAUGGAAGAAAAGCUCACCAAAAUCAAUCUCUCUCUCUCUCUCCCUCUUUCUUUCUUUUUGGAAUACCCCCUAAUUUCUAUCACAUCUUUCAAUGAUGUUUAUGCUGAAG
rnacentral:lncRNA from 1 species